GGCUCAGAACGAACGCUGGCGGCGCGUCUUAAGCAUGCAAGUCGAACGGCAAGAGGUAGCAAUACCUCCUAGAGUGGCGGACUGGUGAGUAACACGUGGGUGACAUACCCUUCAGAUGGGGAUAGCUAUAGAAAUAGUAGAUAAUACCGAAUACGAGCACAGGGGUUAGAGAUCUGUGAGGAAAGGAGCUAAGGCUCCGCUGAAGGAAUGGCCUGCGGCCCAUUAGCUAGUUGGUGAGGUAAGAGCCCACCAAGGCGAUGAUGGGUAUCCGGCCUUAGAGGGUGAACGGACACAUUGGGACUGAGAUACGGCCCAGACUCCUACGGGAGGCAGCAGCUAAGAAUAUUCCGCAAUGGACGAAAGUCUGACGGAGCGACGCCGCGUGGAUGAAGAAGGCCGGAAGGUUGUAAAAUCCUUUUGAAACUGAAGAAUAAGCGUUGUAGGGAAUGACAGCGUGGUGACAGUAGGUUUUGAAUAAGCAACGGCUAAUUACGUGCCAGCCGCUGC
rnacentral:rRNA from 1 species